rnacentral:rRNA from 1 species
UACAGAGGGUGCGAGCGUUGCUCGGAAUCACUGGGCGUAAAGGGCGCGUAGGCGGCCAUUCAAGUCAGAGGUGAAAGCCCAAGGCUCAACCUUGGAACUGCCUUUGAUACUGUUUGGCUUGAGACCGGUAGAGGUAAGUGGAACUGCGAGUGUAGAGGUGAAAUUCGUAGAUAUUCGCAAGAACACCAGUGGCGAAGGCGGCUUACUGGACCGGUUCUGACGCUGAGGCGCGAAAGCGUGGGGAGCAAACAGG